UACGGAGGGUGCAAGCGUUAAUCGGAAUUACUGGGCGUAAAGGGCGCGUAGGCGGUUAUGUAAGUGUGGUGUGAAAUCCCAGGGCUUAACCUUGGAACUGCACCACAAACUGUGUGACUAGAGUGCGAUAGAGGGAGGUAGAAUUUCCGGUGUAGCGGUGAAAUGCGUAGAGAUCGGAAGGAAUACCGGUGGCGAAGGCGGCCUCCUGGAUCGACACUGACGCUGAGGUGCGAAAGCGUGGGGAGCAAACAGG
rnacentral:rRNA from 1 species